rnacentral:sRNA from 1 species
CUUGGUCAUUUAGAGGAAGUAAAAGUCGUAACAAGGUCUCCGUUGGUGAACCAGCGGAGGGAUCAUUACCGAGUUUACAACUCCCAAACCCCUGUGAACAUACCUUAUGUUGCCUCGGCGGAUCAGCCCGCGCCCCGUAAAAAGGGACGGCCCGCCGCAGGAACCCUAAACUCUGUUUUUAGUGGAACUUCUGAGUAUAAAAAACAAAUAAAUCAAAACUUUCAACAACGGAUCUCUUGGUUCUGGCAUCGAUGAAGAACGCAGCAAAAUGCGAUAAGUAAUGUGAAUUGCAGAAUUCAGUGAAUCAUCGAAUCUUUGAACGCACAUUGCGCCCCCUGGUAUUCCGGGGGGCAUGCCUGUUCGAGCGUCAUUACAACCCUCAAGCUCUGCUUGGUAUUGGGCUCUGCCGGUCCCGGCAGGCCUUAAAAUCAGUGGCGGUGCCAUUCGGCUUCAAGCGUAGUAAUUCUUCUCGCUUUGGAGACCCGGGUGCGUGCUUGCCAGCAACCCCCAAUUUUUUCAGGUUGACCUCGGAUCAGGUAGGGAUACCCGCUGAACUUAAGCAUAUCAAUAAGCGGAGGAAAAGAAACCAACAGGGAUUGCCCUAGUAACGGCGAGUGAAGCGGCAACAGCUCAAUUUGAAAUCUGGCUUUCGGGCCCGAGUUGUAAUUUGUAGAGGAUGAUUUUGAUGCGGUGCCUUCCGAGUUCCCUGGAACGGGACGCCAUAGAGGGUGAGAGCCCCGUCUGGUUGGAUGCCAAAUCUCUGUAAAUCUCCUUCGACGAGUCGAGUUGUUUGGGAAU